CAAAAAUUCUGGAACUCUCUCCUCCCUUCUCUCUUGUUCUCUCUUUCUUUCUAGAGUUCUCUCACUCUCUCUCUCGGCUCUCCCUUUUCUCCCCAUGAAACAAACCACCAUCAUCACCAAAAAUUUUGGCUUGUUGAACACCAAAACCACCAUUAUCUGCAUGUCUUCACCACCAUAAACCCAGUUUUGAGUUUUGUUUCAUUGAGAACAAAUCCUAACCUCGAGUUCGAAGAACAAGGUUUGGGCCGAGACUUCUAGGCGUGAUUCAGACAAUUUUCAGUCAUCUUUUGGAUUCAAAAAAGUUUCCGGCGAACCCGUGACCUUCCAGACCAUUUUCCGGCCAAACCAAGGCGAUUUAACAUCAAGAAAGUUUGCCCAGAAAUUCCAGCAAGUUACCAGUUUUCCCGCGGACAGCCAUAUUUCAGGCCAUUUUCCGGCCACCGUCUACCAUCAUUUGGGCUUCAAUUGGAGAUGAUAGUGCGUGACGUCUUGAUUUUGGGUGCUAGGGCGCGGUAGUGCGGGCUCCAGGGCGAUUGUGCAGGUAUUAUUAGAUACGAGAAGCUUUGGGGUAGAAGAUAGAGUUAUGAGAGCUUGGAGUGUUAGGUUACCCCUAUACUUUUCCUUAAAUAUAUGUGAUUAUUGUUAUUUUCAGUUCAGUAUUUCAGUUCGUAUUUCCUAGCAUCCCCCUACAGUCUACCGUCGCACGUCGAUCCUAGAUGUAUGUCGAGAUCGGGGCAUGAUAGCUAGGUUUGAAAUUGAGAAAUUUGAUGGAACGAGCAACUUUGCUAUGUGGCAGUGUGAGGUUCGAGAUGUCCUGAUACAAUAAGGUUUGGUUGUUGUGUUAUGAGACAUGCCGUUUUCGAUGGAAAAAGAAGAAUGGGAAAGAUUGAAUGCUCAUGCAUGUUCUACAAUUCGGCUAUGCUUGGGAAAGCAACAGAAGUAUGGUGUGAUGAACAUAACUUCUGCGAAGGAAUUGUGGGAUGCAUUAAAGACAAGAUAUAUGAAGAAGAGUGCAGAGAAUCGACUGCAUCUUAAGAGCAAAUUGUACAGGUUCCAGUACAAACAGGGCAUGAAGAUGAUUGGCCAUCUAGAAGAGUUUAACAAGCUUCUAGCUGAACUGGCAAAUCUUGAAGUGUAACAACUCAUCCUGAAUAACUUUACGGAUUUUAGAACGAAAUGGUAUUUUGAUCAUUUCAUUGGGAUGGGCUAGAUA